GACGUAGGUGGCGAACGUUAUCCGGAUUUACUGGGCGUAAAGGGUGUGCAGGCGGGGAUACAAGUGGUGUAUGAAAUCUCCCAGCUUAAACUGGGAGCGGUUAUGCCAGACUGUAUUUCUAGAGGACGAGAGAGGGGGUGGAAUUCCGGGUGUAGUGGUGGAAAUGCGUAGAGAUCCGGAGGAACCCCAGAGGCGAAGGCG
rnacentral:rRNA from 1 species